GAGUUUGAUCGUGGCUCAGAUUGAACGCUGGCGGCAUGCCUUACACAUGCAAGUCGAACGGCAGCACGGGAGCUUGCUCCUGGUGGCGAGUGGCGAACGGGUGAGUAAUGCAUCGGAACGUAUCCUGGAGUGGGGGAUAACGUAGCGAAAGUUACGCUAAUACCGCAUAUUCUGUGAGCAGGAAAGCGGGGGACCUUCGGGCCUCGCGCUCUUGGAGCGGCCGAUGUCGGAUUAGCUAGUUGGUGAGGUAAAGGCUCACCAAGGCGACGAUCCGUAGCAGGUCUGAGAGGAUGAUCUGCCACACUGGAAUUGAGACACGGUCCAGACUCCUACGGGAGGCAGCAGUGGGAAUUUUGGACAAUGGGGGCAACCCUGAUCCAGCCAUGCCGCGUGAGUGAAGAAGGCCUCGGUUGUAAG
rnacentral:rRNA from 1 species